AAUGAACGUUGGCGGCGUGGAUUAGGCAUGCAAGUCGAGCGAGAACCCCGCAAGGGGGGACAGCGGCGAAAGGGACAGUAAUGUGUAGAUUAUCUGCCCUCAGGUCCGGGAUAGCUGCGGGAAACUGCAGGUAAUACCGGAUAACAUCUCCGGAUCAAAGGUGUGAUUCCGCCUGAGGAUGAGUCUGCAUCCUAUUAGCUAGUUGGUGGGGUAAUGGCCUACCAAGGCAUUGAUGGGUAGCAGGUGUGAGAGCACGACCUGCGUCAUUGGGACUGAGACACUGCCCAGACACCUACGGGUGGCUGCAGUCGAGAAUCUUCGGCAAUGGGCGCAAGCCUGACCGAGCGACGCCGCGUGUGGGAUGAAGGCCUUCGGGUUGUAAACCACUGUAAGAGGGGAUGAAAUGCAGGUGGGUUCUCCCAUCUGUUUGACAUAGCCUCAGAGGAAGGACGGGCUAAGUUCGUG
rnacentral:rRNA from 1 species